AGUUCAAUUCGGGCAAUUGCUUUUUCCGAUUUAAAUCGGGAAGGGAGGAAAGUCCGAACUUCACAGAACAGGGUGCCGGGUAAUUCCCGGAUCCCGAAUUUUCGGGAAUGGAAAGUGCCACAGAAAAUAUACUUCUCUCCGACAAAGUCGGGGGGUAAAGGUGAAAAGGCAGGGUAAGAGCCUACCGCUCCGAUAGUAAUAUCGGAGGCAGGGUAAACCCCACCCGAAGCAAGGUCAAAUAAGGGAACUAAUCUCCGUAAUGGAGAACAAAGGUGUUCUGCUUUGGUGCCCUGCAAUCAGUGGGACAGGUUUCCGGGUAGACUGCUUGAGCCUGUUAGUAAUAACAGGAGAAGAUAAAUAAUUGCCAUCCCGACUUCGUCAGGAAACAGAAUUCGGCUUACAAGAUUGAACUGUGC
rnacentral:RNase_P_RNA from 2 species